UUUCCUAUAGCCUAGAGACAGUUGGGUCACACUUCUGUGGAAAUGUGCCUUGGAGAGAUAUAUCCAAUACUUAUGUUUCACUUCAGAUAUUCUUAGCUUCACUUGUCUUGUUCCAAUUGCUGUAACAAUUACCAGCUCUGCCUGGAUUUGAACAGUCAGGGUAACAGAUGGCUGAUCCUAUGAAUAUGAGUCAAUGUCUCUUGUCGGCCACCUCAGUGUUUGCACAGCGAUCCCAUAAACAGAGUGACCAAGGUAGCAAGGCUGGCGCCUACGCACGGGCCCCAAACUAUGGUGUCCCUCUUAUCAGAGCUGUUCUAACUACUGUCACAGCUAGAAGAGGAAACUAAUCUUGGUUCCUUGAUACGACAUCAUUCUUUAAUGAGAGCUUCACGGUAGAGAAGUUAUGUUGGACCCCUGCUACCCUAAUGGGGCAGUAAUUUAUCUUUACUGGAAUGAUACCUACUCUGCAUAGGGGUGGUUUUUUUCCUUCCCCACACUGCCUCCACCAGCAUAAUCAUCUGGCCUUUCACAAUGCCUGACAAAUAGAGGUGUGGUAACCCUCACAGCAUUACCUAUGACCAGGAGACCCAUUUUACAGCAACAGCAUGAGAAGUGUGACAGUAACUACAGACACACAGUAACUACAGACAGUAACUGUAGGAUCUACCUUGGACAUCACCACUCAGAAGCAGCCAGUCUAACAGAAUGGUGGAAUGGGCUGUUAAAGGCUCAGCUAAGACACCAGCUCAGGGAACAUUCUCAGCAAAGUUGGAGCACUCUCCUUUGGGCAUGCAGUUUGUGUGUUGAGCUAACAAAUAUAUGGACCCAGUAGUUAGAAUACAUAGGUCUGGGAAAUAGGCGUGGCCUUGCUCAUCAUUAUCCCAAUGACCUUCUUGUGGGGUUUGUGUUUGCCAUUCUGACAAACUUAGAAUUUUCCAGGUUUAGAGGCCCAAGUCAGAAAGGUUUCUAACUGAAUUUGAAGCUGUAACUGCUACCAGCUCACUUUUGGCUUCUCAUGCUGGAGGAUCAGCAAGCAAAGAAAGUUACCGUGCUGAACACCUUGAGCAGCUAUGACUGCACUGCACAACGUGAACAGGAGAGAGUAUGUCUGCAAUCCACAGCAUUCACAAGGAUGUGUUCUGGUGCAUCCAGAGAAAACAGUAGUUUCCGUGAAGAACAGAUUGACAGAAAUCCUUGGGGGCUUAUCAUCAAAGAUGGAUACAAAGGCAGAAAUGUAAGGCACCCAGCAAGAAGCCAAUUGUCUACAGAAGAGUGAAUCCCAGAGUUUCUACUUUUGUAAUUCUUCCUUCCUCUGUCAUUAUAAAAGAUCAUUGUCUUCAACAUUUUUCAGAGCAGUCUGCCCAGGAGUGAUCUGGAAAACAUACAAGUGAGGAAAACAAACUUUGCAAGAAGAAACAAGUGCACUGGGGAGCAGAGGUGGGAUAGCUCUGCAGUCAUCUUGUCAAAGAAGCACUUGGGAUCUGUAGGGGCCACUCAGUCCUCCCCUCCACAGCCACACAAGUGGUGGCCUUGGAUUCCCAGCAGGGCCCGUGUGCUACAGCACUUGGAGGUUGGAGAGACUCCUACAGCCGCCUCAGACCUGGCCUCUGGGUUGCCAGAUUGGGACCCCUGCUGCCCAUUAAGAUAUAUCCAGCCCUAUAGGAGCCAGGAAGGCCUGCUUCUUUUGCAGCUAGAUCCUGCCCAGAUGAAGUAGGAUGAGGGGUUAAUAACACACCCUUCUUCAUUAAACCCUGAUUCCUACACAAAAGGCUACCCCAGUCUAUUCAAGAGAGUUCUCAGAGCAGGUUAAAGAAAGUCAGUCUCAGACUGUUGGGAGAAAGCAUCUCAUCUCUACCAGAGGAGGAAGCAGUACAUGGUGAAGAAAGCCAACAGAGCGGCUGGAGCCCGAGAUGGCAGGGCUUAAACUCUGGUUUAAUGAUGACAAUAUUGGAUGUUAGCAGCUGGUAACAGAAAAUCCACUAUAAGAAUAUCCUUUUUCACUUAAGAAAAUCUUGAGUUAGGCAGUCCCAGGAUUGAGCUAGCAUCUCCACAAUGCAAGGACACUGAGUCAGACUAUUUGCAGUUCUUUUGAUCCUCCCCUCUUGGUCACAAAACCAUUGCCAUAACUCCAGGCAUCCUGCCCUCACAAAGCCACUUCCAAAGGCAGGAAGCAGGAAUGCUCAUCACAUGCCUGCCUUCUUUUAUUAAUUAUAAUAGUAACUAACAGUUUUUUUGUUUUGGGGUUUUUUGUUUUUUUUAGCAUUUACCAUAUGUCACGUACUAUCUAAGCCCUUUGUAUGUAUAAAUUCACUUCAUUCUACAGUGGACUAGGAAAGCAGAAAGAACUUUGGUUUGACUUUCUCAGCAUUGCUCAGACAAGAAAUGGUAGAGCUGGCACUUAAGCUCUGGCGGUUUGGCUUCAGAGCCCUUAUGGUGCCAAACUACCUCUCCAUUAGGGAAGAAGAGGUUUCCCAGAAGCCCCUCAGCAGACUCUACCUUCUGCUUCAUUGGUUACACCUGGGUCACAUGACCGCUCUGGCUGUGAGGGAGGCGGAGGAUACAAGUAACUGCCUGUUUCAACCUCAAGGGAAAAAGCGGGCUGUGAAGGUCAGUUGAGUAGCCAACCAACAGCAUCUACCACCCACCACUGUGACAAAAGAAACAAUGGCCUUUGUUACUGGGGAAAGAUCCUGGUGCCCUAAGGGCUUAGGUGAAAGUCUGAGGUCACUGGGCUAUUUGGCUUACCACCAUUGAGAGAAAAGCCAAGCUUCCGCUCAAAACCAGUCGGGAAAUAGCAAAAAUGCCAGCAGCCUCACAGCCUUAUCUUCCAUCCAGUCACUUUAGUAUCUGUGCAUAAGCAGUCCUUAUUAAAUUAUUCAUCCUGAUUUAAUGGGAAGGAAAUCACAUGCAACAGGUGUGAUUCUUCCUGCUUGUUGAAUGGCUUUAAAACAGGCUUUCAGACACUGGUUGCGGAAGGGAAAGCAGCAGGAGGACAAAUCAACUGUAUUUUAAGAUAAUUACCGAAAUGCUACAAUACGUGCCAGUGGUCAUAGAAACUGAAUAGAAUUCUGGGAAGGAAAGAGGAAUAUUACAUAGGCAAUUUGCUUUACAUACACUAAAAAAAAAAAAAAAAAAAA